AUUUAGGUCUUUUUCUUCAAUACGCCAACAUGCAAAACUUUGAGCCAAUAAUCGACUUUGAAGAAGGAUGGGGUUUUGUGCAUAACGGCAUCAAGAAGCUCCAGAACAAUCUAGAAGGCUUGCCCGAUACUCACCUCAGUUCUGAGGAUUACAUAAUUCUAUACACGUAUGUUUCAAUUCCUUUUUGA